AUGAUUUCUUUAUGGUUUUGGAUAUUGAAAAUAAUUCUGACAACACAAGGACAUCCUAGUAUCCCUGUUGGACCCAGAGAAAACAUUUGGGUGACAUUUGCCAACCAAACAGGUCAAUUGGAUUUCUGUCUAAGUUUAGCCUCAGCGUCAGAUCCUUUUCAAACAUGUCUUAUUGGCAUUCCUUACCUUGAUACAAAUGAUUUUACAGGAUGGGUUAGCUCUAAUCAUAACAAAACCAAGGUGGAAUCAGUUUGCAAUGUAACAGAAGAAUGCACAAACGGCACCAAAGGUAUGACAUCUCUUCUGUUAAUAACUAGUCUAAACAAGACCAUGACAGAUAGCCCCAGUGAGUUACAAUUAUUUGGAGCUGUGUUUGGAAAUGACUCUUGCUUUAGACUCAAUAUGAAAAAGGAAAAGAUCUUUCUACGAUGGCAACAAACAAUUGGAAAUGUAUCCACUACAAACGUAACAGCACAGAACCCUCCAUACGAUAAUGUAACCUGGUGCCAAGGUUAUGCCAAAAAUGUGUCAAUCAGUGUGACAAAGCCAAAAUACUUACCACCUGGUUACUUCUUAAUUUGUGGCAAUAGAGCAUGGUCUGGCAUUCCUAAAUACCCCAUUGGUGGACCAUGUUACUUGGGAAAAUUGACUAUGUUUACACCCACUAUGAGACAAAUAACACAGUUGAAAAGGAGAAAUAUUCGGAACAAACGAGACACUGAAUUUGAUAAAUACUGUAAAUCAGUAAAGAACCAACCCAUUAACUUUUGGUCACCUACAGCAAACUUCUUUGCAUCUAUAUUUGCCCCCAUUGGAGCAAAAAAGAGUCUAGUUCUUGUCCAAAGAACAGCUUGUUGGGCAAGGGAUCAAAUGAAUAGGACCUCAAAAAUUCUAGGGGAAUUGGCUCAUGACUUUGAUGAAAUAAGACAUGCUGUUUUACAGAACAGAGCAGCUAUAGAUUUUCUAUUGCUGGCUCAGGGGCAUGGAUGUGAAGAAUUUGAAGGUAUGUGUUGUAUGAAUCUUUCUGAUCACUCUCAAUCCAUCUACCAAAACCUAAAAGAGAUGCAAGGUCAUUUGAAUGACUUUAAAAUCCAAAAAGAUCCUAUCAGAGAAUGGUUAGCAAAAUUAGGCUUAGGACCAUGGUUUGCUGAGAUCACUAAACAAGCUAUUUCACUUUUGCUGAUAUUGUUAGCUGCUUUAUGCAUCGUUCCUUGCGUUUUUAAGUGUAUACAGAACAUGUUAAAGAAGGCAGUGAAUGAUGUAUUUUUAACAAUGUCUAAAGGAAACGGGGGAAGUGUGGAAAGUAUUGCUGAAACAUGGCUAAUAGAAAGAGGACAUGAGAGAGAUGCUAUAGCUCUGGUCCCACGGUAA
rnacentral:lncRNA from 1 species